CAGUAGCCACGGGAAUACAGAGGGUGCAAGCGUUAAUCGGAUUUACUGGGCGUAAAGCGUGCGUAGGCGGCUUCUUAAGUCGGAUGUGAAAUCCCUGAGCUUAACUUAGGAAUUGCAUUCGAUACUGGGAAGCUAGAGUAUGGGAGAGGAUGGUAGAAUUCCAGGUGUAGCGGUGAAAUGCGUAGAGAUCUGGAGGAAUACCGAUGGCGAAGGCAGCCAUCUGGCCUAAUACUGACGCUGAGGUACGAAAGCAUGGGGAGCAAACAUGAUUAGAUACCCCCGUAGUCCCUGUCUCUUAUAA
rnacentral:rRNA from 1 species